GCAUAAUAUUAAGAAGAGCUCCAAGGCCACAUGUAGGCUCAAUGGGAAAGAAUGCGGUGAUCCAUUAUGCCACAGUCGUGGGUGCAGACCAUGGUAGAACGAACUGUAUAUUUAUUUCCUUGAUAAGCUGACUCCAGUUUACGGACGAGGCAAGUGAGGCUCGUGGAGCUUCAUCCCGCUGGUCAGCCCAGACCAGAACGGCCAGGCCACAGACCCAGGGCUGGACCAUGGCCCCAGCUGAAGGGACAGGAUGUUUCCUAUGCUCAGAGGAGGAAGAUGAGACAUAGAGAGGCGAAGGAACUGCCCUGACUCAAGUCACACUGCUGG